CAAGAAUAUCCAUCUAGACCAAUUUCUUUUAGUUUGCACACUAACCUGUUGUGAGUAACCGUAUCAAAUGCAUUGGCAAAAAUCCAAGUAGAUCACAUCCACUGCAACACCCUGAUCUAUACUUCUACUUACUUCUUCUUAGAAUACACUUGGGUUAGUUUGACAUGACCUAUGUUUCAGAAAACCAUGCUGAUUAUUGCUAAUAAAGUUGUUCCCAAUGAAUUCCUGAAUAUUAUCCCUUAAUAGCCCUUCAAAUAUUUUCCCAGUUACAGAAGUUAAGCCCACACGUCUAUAAUUUCCAGGCAAGGAUUUUGAACCCUUUUAAAAUACAGGAACAUCUGCCUUCCUCCG